UACGUAGGGCGCAAGCGUUGUCCGGAAUCAUUGGGCGUAAAGAGCUCGUAGGCGGCCUGUUGCGUCCGCUGUGAAAUCCCGGGGCUUAACCCCGGGCGUGCAGUGGAUACGGGCUGGCUGGAGGCAGGCAGGGGAGAACGGAAUUCCCGGUGUAGCGGUGAAAUGCGCAGAUAUCAGGAGGAACACCGGUGGCGAAGGCGGGUCUCUGGGCAGUAACUGACGCUGAGGAGCGAAAGCGUGGGGAGCGAACAGG
rnacentral:rRNA from 1 species